GGCUCAUGACGGUACCUGAAGAAUAAGCACCGGCUAACUACGUGCCAGCAGCCGCGGUAAUACGUAGGGUGCAAGCGUUAAUCGGAAUUACUGGGCGUAAAGCGUGCGCAGGCGGUUUUGUAAGACUGUCGUGAAAUCCCCGGGCUCAACCUGGGAAUGGCGAUGGUGACUGCAAGGCUAGAGUUUGGCAGAGGGGGGUAGAAUUCCACGUGUAGCAGUGAAAUGCGUAGAUAUGUGGAGGAACACCGAUGGCGAAGGCAGCCCCCUGGGUCAAAACUGACGCUCAUGCACGAAAGCGUG
rnacentral:rRNA from 1 species